rnacentral:rRNA from 1 species
ACCCGCUGAACUUAAGCAUAUCAAUAAGCGGAGGAAAAGAAACCAACAGGGAUUGCCUUAGUAACUGCGAGUGAAGCGGCAAAAGCUCAAAUUUGAAAUCUGGUGCCUUCGGCGCCCGAGUUGUAAUUUGGAGAGACAUCUUCGGAGUAGACGCCGUCCUAAGUUCCUUGGAACAGGACGUCACAGAGGGUGAGAAUCCCGUGCCUGGAUGGCUGUUCUACUUCAUGUGAAGUGUCUUCGACGAGUCGAGUUGUUUGGGAAUGCAGCUCAAAAUGGGAGGUAAAUUUCUUCUAAAGCUAAAUAUUGGCGAGAGACCGAUAGCGCACAAGUAGAGUGAUCGAAAGAUGAAAAGCACUUUGAAAAGAGAGUUAAAAAGUACGUGAAAUUGUUGAAAGGGAAGCGCUUGAGACCAGACUCGACCAGUGGUGAUCAGCGGUGCUUCUGUGCCGUGCACUUGCCAUUGGUUGGGCCAGCAUCGGUUUGGACGGCGGGAUAAAGACCUAAGGAAUGUGGCUCCCACCGGGGAGUGUUAUAGCCUUGAGUGCAAUGCCGCCAGUCUGGACCGAGGACCGCGCUUCGGCUAGGAUGCUGGCGUAAUGGUCUU